GCGGAUGUGGCGGAACUGGCAGACGCGCAGGUCUCAGAAGCCUGUGGUGGUGACACCGUGAUGGUUCGAUUCCAUUCAUCCGCA
rnacentral:tRNA from 1 species